AUACUGAACAACAUUAGAAACUCACCACACAAAAAUGCACCGACAAUGCUCAGUUAUCAUGGAUACAUUUCAGUCUGACAGGGAUAUUUCAUAUUAUAUGGGUGGUGCGUUUCUAAUGUUGGAAUGUCUGGUUCAGU